rnacentral:rRNA from 1 species
AAUCAACGCUGGCGGCAUGCCUAACACAUGCAAGUCGAGCGAGAAGGGGUAGCAAUAUCCGAGUACAGCGGCGCACGGGUGAGUAACACGUGGGUAAUCUGCCUCGAAGUGGGGAAUAACACCGGGAAACCGGUGCUAAUACCGCAUAAUCUGAUCGGAUCUGCGGAUUUGGUCAGCAAAGGAGCAAUUCGCUUUGAGAGGAGCCCGCGGCUGAUUAGCUAGUUGGUGAGGUAAUGGCUCACCAAGGCCACGAUCAGUAGCCGGUCUGAGAGGACGGUCGGCCACACUGGAACGGAGACACGGUCCAGACUCCUACGGGAGGCAGCAGUGGGGAAUUUCGCGCAAUGGGCGAAAGCCUGACGCAGCAACGCCGCGUGAAGGAUGAAAUCCCUCGGGAUGUAAACUUCGCAAGUAUGGGAAGAAAAAAAUGACGGUACCAUAUGUAAGCCCCGGCUAACUCCGUGCCAGCAGCCGCAGUAACAC